GUGUUCUCUUCGGUAGCACAUAUACUAAAAUUGGAACAAUACAGAGAAGAUUAGCAUGGCCGCUGUGCAAGGAUGACAGCAAAUUCGUGAAGUGUUCCAGGUUGGG
rnacentral:snRNA from 1 species